UGGGUGAAUUUUAUUUACUUUUCCAUCUCUAUGACAUAUUCUAAGUUUCUUUCUAUGGGAAUGUUUCACUUUCAUAACUAGAAAUUUUUAAAAUAAAAGUAAAUGUAUUGUUUAUAAAUUGAGUUUCAUUUUAAAAAACUAUUGGUGAAUAAUUAUCAAUAAAUUUGUAUAUUGGAGGAAAAAAAUCUUUGUAAAUCAAUCUUAACUUGACUCCAUCUCAAAAAAAAUUUUUUUUGAAUGAGUUAACAAAAAUUUAGAGGUAGAGGGAUGCUGGGAAGAUAGCAGAGCAGGGAAUUUUUCUCCCCACCUAGAUAACAAUUGCACUGUUG
rnacentral:lncRNA from 1 species